UACAGAGGUCUCAAGCGUUGUUCGGAUUCAUUGGGCGUAAAGGGUGCGUAGGCGGCGCGGUAAGUCGGGUGUGAAAUCUCGGAGCUUAACUCCGAAACUGCAUUCGAUACUGCCGUGCUUGAGGACUGGAGAGGAGACUGGAAUUACGGUGUAGCGGUGAAAUGCGCAGAUAUCAGGAGGAACACCGGUGGCGAAGGCGGGGUCUCUGGGCCGAUACUGACGCUGGAGGAGCGAAAGCGUGGGGAGCGAACAGGAUAGAAACCUUGUAG
rnacentral:rRNA from 1 species